rnacentral:lncRNA from 1 species
GUGGGACGCUGGGGUGUUGGGGAGGCAGGGCUCGUGUUCUGGGAAGAGGGACAUGGAGUGGACACAGACAUGGAAAAUAGGAUGACCAGAAAGAGUGAAAGCAAAAGAUACAAAGGAGCCAUCUUCUUAGACACAGGGAGCUCACCUGCCUUUUCUGCCCCAGACCUCUCUGCCAGGCCUCGGCCCUGCACCCAAUCCUCCCAUCCCUAGUUGAGCACCUACUGUGUAUAAGGCCCCAUUCAAGGCUCUGGGGAGACAGCAGUGAGUAAAACAGAUGAAAAACCCUGCCUUCCUGGAGGCACCGUUCUCUUAGGAGGAAACAGACAAUAAACAAGAUAUGUAAAUAAAUCAGGCAUGGUGGUGCACACCUGUAAUUCCAGCACUCUGGGAGGCUGAGGCAAGAGCGUUGAAAGCUCAAGCCUAGCCUGGACAAUUUAAUGAUGUAGUGAGACCCUGUCUCAAAAUAAAAAAAAGGGAAGUGGGGCACUGAGAAUGUAUGUAGCUCAGUGUGGAGGCUUUGGGUUUAAUCCCCAGUCUUAAAAAAAAAAGACGCAAGUAAAUUAUAUAGUAGUUAGGAUAAGAGCUUUGGAGAAAAAUUAAAAUUGAGUCAGGCAGGGAAGGGUGGUGUGGGUGGAGGAGUACACUUAAACAGAAUGAUGAGGGAGGUCUCACUGAGAAGGCGACAUCUGAGCUAGGACCUGAAGGAGGGAGAGGAAGAAUCGUUGGGCAUCUGGGGCAGGAGCAGUCUAGGCAGAGAGAAUAGCAAGUGCGAAGGCCUUGGGUGAGAGAGGUCAGGCUGGGGCAGGCACCACCUGGCAUGUGUGAGGAAGACCAAGGAGGUCACUGUGGCUGCAGUGGAGGGCAUGUGCAUUGGGGGUUUGGCGGGACAUAGUGUCUGUGGCUUUGGGGAGGACUAUGGUGUAGGCUUUGGCCAGGAUGGGAGCCAUAGAAGGCUUCUGAGCAGAGGAGGGAGAGGAUUUGAUUCAAGGAUUCACAAGGACCCCCUGGCUGCAUACAGGGAAGAGAUGGAGGAGUGGUGUUUGCUGGGACACUGGUUAAGGAGUUGCUGCCAAGUCAAGGCCGGAGAGGAUGGUGGUCAGCCUGGGGUGGGCCGGAGGGGUUGAGCAGUGGAUAGAUUGUUUCCUGUCUGGGCUCUGUCUCCAGUCUUGUCCCAUCUUGAUGCAGCCAAAGGGUCUAAAACAAAAAUCUGCUCCUGUCUCUCUCCUCUCUCUCCCCUGGGAGCCAACCGAAGCUGCUCAGCCUGAUGUUAGACUCUCAGCAGGGAAUGGCUCCUGCAGCCACCUCAGCCUCACCUCGAACCUCUCCCCACCCCUUAGGCAGCUCCUGCCACACUGAAGUUCUGUCUGUUUCUCUGUGGUGUUUGCUCACGCUAUGCCUUCUGCCUAGAACACCGUUCCUUCUCUCUUUGCCCUGGUAACCCCCUUCCUCCUCCAGGAAGCCUUGUUUGUUCUUCCAUGGUUCAUCGAAACACCUUUCCAGGCCUACAAGACCGUGCGGGAUUUGGUCCCCUCCCCACCUCUGUGGGGGAGUGUGUGUCGCCAAUUCUCCCCUUGGUACCUCCCGCCCAGCCCCCUCCCAGCCAUCUACAGCUCCAGGGAGGCUGUGGGGAAAAGUGGUUAGACUUUGGAUCUAUUUUGAAGCAUGAUUUCCUGAUGGAAUUUGAAGGGAGGCGGGGUCAAGGAUAAGUUCUCUGGACAGUGCUAUCUUGCCAGGCAUUUGCAUGUUCUGUGCCUGGGCCUCAGUUUCCUCAUCUGUAAAAUGGGGCCAAAAGUUGUAUAGUACCUGCCUCUUAUGGGUGUUGAGAAUGUUAAAUAAAUCAAUUCAUGUAAAGUUCUUAGAUUGGGCCCAACACUUAGUAAAGACUCAAUAAGCAGGGGUGUUUAUUAUAUUCCUUCAUAUCCAUCUUAAAGACUCUGGGCUGUGCAGACAUGGAAGAUGUGUACUCUUAGCAUAGAGUCUCAGUGGGUCAAGUGUAGUAAGACAGUGCUUUUAUGAACUGUUGACUGUACUUUUAUAUGUUGAUCUAAUACAGUCAUACUCAUGUAUAAAACUCAAACAUGUUUUUCUAGUCUCAGUAGUCUUUCUUUUUUUAAAUAAUUGAGAUUAAUACAUUCACAACGGGACCAUAAUUUGUUUGUCUCGCUGUCAGGUAGCUCUUAUUUGUUGUUGUUGAUUUUUUUUUUUGGUACUGAGUACUGAACUCGGGUCCUUGCGCUUGAGAGGCAGGCGGCGAAACCACUGAGCUAAAUCCCCAGCCCCUGGGCAGCUCUUAUUUGAAUGUGUUAUAGUCCCACCAUCUUGUACCACUGGUGGUGCAUGCAUGACUGUCCCAUAGGGUGACAUGGGAUGGUCCCAUUGGGUGGUACAGUCAUACAUGUACCACCAGUGGUUUAUGCCAGUGGGAACAUGUUAAAUUCACAGAACAUAAAUUUAGUCAUGUCAAAGCUCAGUGGCAUUUAGUGCACUCACAAGGUUGUACAACUACCUCCCCUGUCUAGAUCCAGAAUAUUUUCAUUACCUUAAAAAAAAACUGCACCAAGGUCCUUAGUUUGAUCCCCGGUACUGCAAAAGAAAGAAAAAAAAACUGCAUAACCAGUAAGCAGUCAUUCUCCAUUUCCCCAGCCCCUGGCAACUACUACUCUGCUUUCGGUCUCUGUUGACCAAUUUUUUCUUGUUUUUAGUUAAUUGAGACAGGGUCUUCUUAUGUAGUCCAGACCAGCCUGAGCUUGCUUUGUAGCCCAGGGUGACCUGGGCUUUGCUUUGUAGCCCAUGAUCCUCCUGCCUCAGCCUCCAGAGUGUCCGGAUUGCAGGCAUGUGCCACUGUGCCCAGCUGACCAAUAUUCUUAUUACAUAUGAUGCAGUCUGACAUUUUCUAUUUUAUUCUAUUGGAAUAAAAAAUUAUCUAAGGCCCACGAAAUCAUUCCCCCUUCCCAUGCAAUGUUGCACAGUAGAAUCAUCUGGAGAGCUUUAAAAGGUACUGCUACCCAAACUUACUCCAGAGAUUUUGAAGUAAUUUUAAGAUUUUCACAAGCUUCUAGAUAAUGCUAUAUGCAAUCAAAGCAAAAAGCACUAAUCUAUUGUGUCUCUCCAGCUUGGAAAACACUAGAAGGAGGCCUAAAGCCAGAGUGAUCAGGGACAUAGGACACAGAGAUAAAAAAGUAGGGAUAUGAUAUUUAGACAAUGAAAUUGUCCUUUUACAGACUGCUCUCUGAGCUCAUCUGAUCUCCAGGACCAGCCCUGGCCUUCUGGCUGGGGCCCAGACCCAGGCCCCAGGAGGCUGUGCCCCAACCUGCCCCAGCCCCAGAGAAGUGUCCCGCCACCUGUCCUCCUUCCCUGGCCAGGUGGGGCCUGGCUUUGGGGCAAGACUGAGUCACAGGGAAGGGGGAACCCAUACCUGCAGCUGCUCCUUCUGUCUUGGCUAACCUCCGUCCCCCCAGUCAUACCCCAAGAGUUCUCAAAGCCUGAGACCAGGACCAUUUGGCCCCACCUUGCCCUGCUGUUUCGAGUACGUGUUAUUUAUUACCUGGAGGCCUGUCCCAUCCUAACUCCUCCCCCAUAAAGCAUUGUUUACACCUGUG